rnacentral:rRNA from 1 species
UACGGGGGGAGCAAGCGUUGUUCGGAUUUACUGGGCGUAAAGCGCGCGUAGGCGGCUACUUAAGUCGGAUGUGAAAGCCCUUGGCUCAACUGAGGAAGUGCACCCGAAACUGAGUAGCUGGAGUACGAAAGAGGGUCGCGGAAUUCCCGGUGUAGAGGUGAAAUUCGUAGAUAUCGGGAGGAACACCGGUGGCGAAGGCGGCGACCUGGGUCGAUACUGACGCUGAGGCGCGAAAGCGUGGGGAGCAAACAGG